AUCGGGGCGAGGAGCAAUCCUUGCCGCCGGCGACCGGCGCACGGGUGAGUAACGCGUAUGCGACCUGCCCGUUGCAGGGGGAUAAUCGGGAGAAAUCCCGUCUAAUACCGCGUAAUGCCGCGGGGCUGCAUGGCCCUGCGGCCAAAGGAAGCGAUUCCGGCAACGGAUGGGCAUGCGUGACAUUAGCUAGUUGGCGGGGCAACGGCCCACCAAGGCGACGAUGUCUAGGGGUUCUGAGAGGAAGGUCCCCCACACUGGUACUGAGACACGAUCCACAUUUAAACGGGAGGUCUCCGUGAGGAAUAUUGGCCAAUGGGCGCGAGCCUGAACCACCCAAGUCGCGAGAUGGACGACGGCCCUACCGGAUGACAACCUCUUUUGUCGGGGAGCACAAUCCGCCACCUGUGGAGAACCCGAGAGUACCCGAAUAAAAAGCAUCGGCUAACUCCGUGCCAUCAGCCGCGGUAAUACUGAGGAAGCAAGCGUUAUCCGGAUUUAUUGGGUUUAAAGGGUGCGUACGCGGACUGUCAAGUCAGCGGCCAAAUACGGGGGCUCAACCUCCGCCCGCC
rnacentral:rRNA from 1 species